CCUCGCCUCGCCGCCUCUUUGGUGUGCGCGCUGCGGUCGCCGGUCUCUUUGUCCCGCGUGGUUGGGCGCACUGAUCCGCCGCCACUUUGUAGAGGGUUUCGGGCCGGACCCCGCCUGCGGCCGCAAGAGCCCCGCCUCGGGCCUCCCUUGGCUCGAGAGUUUGUCUCCAGCGUCUGCGGAGGUGCGGCGGCCUCAGUUCUAACUCAGCACAGAUUGAAAACUACAGACACAAGCUGUUGAAGCUGGGAUGCUCUGGUGCUGGUAUUUCAAUUAACUUAUAGGUCUAUCCAGAAAUAUCCAGCCGUUGUUAACAUAAUGAGAACAGCUUGUCCCACAUCUAUGUAACCUGGCAGCCAAGGAGUGGACCUCAAUGCCUAUGCGUGAACAAUGAUGCCAUCACUGUACUAGUCAGUGGGGUGCUAGACACUGGGCCAUCAUAAUCAGAAUGACUGAGCCAGUAGAGCAACGAGUCUGCAUCAAAUUUUGUGUUAAGCUUGAACGUUCCUCUGCGGAAACCAUUCGGAUGAUUCAGAAGGCCUUUGGGGACAACGCAAUGAGUGCAGCAAAAAUAAAAGUGUGGCACAAACACUUCAAAGAUGUUCAA